rnacentral:lncRNA from 1 species
GCAAUUCACCUUUUCUUUAAAUACUCAUGUCACAUUUGUGCUGUUGCCAAUGCUUCUCAGACCCUCCAGAUGAGGACAUUUCCCUGAGGAGGUGGCUAUGAUGGUAGAACUUAAAAGACUUCAGUGGACAUAAGGAGACAGGGUCAAGGUGGCAGGCAAGAUGGUCAAAUAGAAAUAGCUUCAGUCUGCAGCUCCCAGUGAGAUCAACACAGAAGGAAACAAUGCCAAGAAUAUGUUAAUCUAAACCCAUGAUGUUUCUACCUCUCAAAGAACAGAGAGAAAAGGAAACUGGAGAGAGGCCAGAAGUGACCAACUCUAUUCCCUCAUUUCUGUGUUAUACUCCCUUUGUCUAAUCUGCCCUACCCUACCAGGUGGUUUAAGAAUUUUAUCCUUUCUCCAGACUAGAAGAGGAAGUGGGGGCCGGAAUUAGGUGUAUACAAAUUGUUGGAAAGCCUUUGUGUGGAUUUGGAGGGCUGAAGUAGAGUAUCAUUUUUAUAAAGCAGCCCAAGCCUCUAAUCUGAGCAGGAAGAUUCACACUCAUUCUCUGGCAUGAGUCCUAUCAGGAGGAUCACUGAAGCCAAGGCUGUAGAAAUAAAUAAUUAAUCUCUCCACCCAAGGAGGCUAGUAAACAAUAUUCAAUACGUGAAUACUGAGUUCUGCCAAGAGGAAGAAGCAUAUAAACCAGGCAACUGCUGAACGCAUUGCCAAAAAGGGAGACUUACGCAUCAUUCACUAAAGCUUUCCAAAAACUAAAUCAGAUCCAAGAACAGACAAACUCCUGCAGAAUGACAAUGGUGGAGAGAUUGACCUCCCAGCAUUGCAGACUUACAUCAGUUGUUCUGAUGUUCUUAGUUAUAUCAGAUUCCUUCCAGAAUCUUCUAAAUAUAUCAGACGGUCAGACACAACCCCAGGCCCUAAUAAAAAACCCUGAUGCUGGCCUACAGAUGUGCAAUUUAAUAAACUUUCUCCAUGAUUCUGGUACACAUCCAACAUAGAAGAACCACUUAGUACUUCUAUCUGGCUCGUAUUUCUUCCACUAUUUACUAAAUGUCGACCUUAGGCUAAUUUCUUAAAUCCAUGUCCAAGGGUUUCUUUAAAUGGAGAUAAUAUUACCUUAUCGUCAAUCUAUUGUAAGAAUUAGAUAAAAGGGUGCAUGCGAAGGACCAAGCAGUGUAGAUGUCACACUGUAAGUGCUUAAUACGUGUCUCAGCUUAUUAUUCUGCAAGAGAAGUUAACUGCCUAAUAGAUUGUGUAGAUAUCAAGUGCCCCUCGUGGCACUUUAAUCAAAAAAAUCUGUUGUUAAUUCCUAUUGUAAACCUCAAUUGCUACAUCAGCCAGCUCUUCAAAGGGAUAAAUAUGACAUUAUUAUUUUCUAAAUGACUUUUAUUUUCUAAAUGCUCUUAGAGUGUUUGAUCCCCCGGAAGCUAUCAUCAUUAAUGAUUUCUCGAGUAUACUGAGAGUAAUGUUUAGGUGUAAAGGAAGUGAAAAGUAAACAUGAAUGCUUCUUUGCUCUUCAAAGAUGAAGGUUCUGAGAUCAAAGAGCCUGAGUGAUGUGACCACAUCCCUAAAGAUGGUGCCAAAUGCCGCCCUACUGAUAAGGCUGCUGUGGGGACCGUGCACCUGUGUUCUUCUCUUAAUACUUACUCUGGGUCUCUGUUGACAAGGAACAUUUUGAAGUUUCUAAGAAUUAUUUAAUAACCCUAAUAGUCAUUGUUUCUUUAGUGACUCAAGUCUACACGUGUAAUGCUCAGGUUUUUCUUUCUUUUUUCAAUGGGGAAACGUAAUUUUUUUUUCUUGUAGUCUCCUAAAUAACAGAUUAUAUAAUAAAAAAGGAGAAACUUUCUCAAGAAGGAAGCUAUCUGCACUGCUCUGCUGAACUCUAAGCCACCUCUGCUACUAAAACAGAUAGUAGCCCCUGUUGGGGUCUCUGGAGCAGGGAAAUCCAAGCUGUCAUGGAGCAUGUAUUCAGUAACCAAAGAGGAUUCUACAAGUUUUGUUUUUCUGGCUAGGUGACUUCAGCCCAUCAAAGACAAAGCUGAAAUAAAAUAAUCUGAAUGAUC